GCGAGGAUAGCCAAGUGGUCAAAGGCGAACGACUCAAGAUCGUUUCCCGCAGGGGUUCGUGGGUUCGACUCCCCCUCCUCGCA
rnacentral:tRNA from 1 species